CGUUGUGGGUAACCCGGACGUGGAAGAACCUCGUCUGCGGAGGAAAAGUCCCAGGUGCCGAGUCAAUCCCCAUACACAGCCGCCGCCAUUGCCUCGAGUCCUUGUGUCUGACUGUCUGUUCCUGCUGCUGUAUGACACAGCACCUCGAGGCAAGGAAAUAAGAAAACUGCCUCUGAUCCAAGCAGAGAAGGUCUGCCUGUAGAUCUGCUGUAGGGCUUGUCACCAUUGGAAGCAAGGUCCUACUUCAGUGGCAGAUCUGGUGGCCUUGGAGUGGCUGAAGACCACCACCCUCCACAGGGCUGGGCCCAUGCACAGCCAUCCUUCCCUACCUUGAAACUCCUGUAGCCUGUAAUACCAGCUGUGGGUACUACUCUCAGUGUUGGAGAUCAUCAAAAUACAAUUGGACCAGACCCUUUGGAAAUAAUUCUGUGUCUCAAAUGCCCUGUGGAGCACACACUUAAUCAGUUGAUGGCUAUGGAAUUUUCCAACAUCAGCUAAAGAGAAGGGAUAGAGUGGUGACUUCCAAGCUUCAUGCAGAACCGGACAACAGAAAUUGAGAGGGAAAUUUUUAUGACAGAAGAGAGAAAGAAGAAAAUUGCUGGAAUAAUGACCUUGAAUAGAGGAAAUGGGAUAUCAUCUGGUAAG
rnacentral:sRNA from 1 species